rnacentral:rRNA from 1 species
CUUAAAUGAAUUGACGGGACCCGCACAAGCGGUGGAUGAUGUGGUUUAAUUCGAUGCAACGCGAAAACCUUACCCACCUUUGACAUGUACGGAACCCUUUAGAGAUAGAGGGGUGCUCGAAAGAGAGCCGUAACACAGGUGCUGCAUGGCUGUCGUCAGCUCGUGUCGUGAGAUGUUGGGUUAAGUCCCGCAACGAGCGCAACCCUUGUCAUUAGUUGCUACAUUCAGUUGGGCACUCUAAUGAGACUGUCGGUGACAAGCCGGAGGAAGGUGGGGAUGACGUCAAGUCCUCAUGGCCCUUAUAGGUGGGGCUACACACGUCAUACAAUGGCUGGUACAAAGGGUUGCCAACCCGCGAGGGGGAGCCAAUCCCAUAAAGCCAGUCGUAGUCCGGAUCGUAGUCUGCAACUCGACUACGUGAAGUCGGAAUCGCUAGUAAUCGUGGAUCAGAAUGUCACGGUGAAUACGUUCCCGGGUCUU